rnacentral:lncRNA from 1 species
CAAUAUUUGCACAUUUGCAGCAUUUGGGUAUAAAUAAUCUACAUUUUGCAUUUAUUUAUUCUUAUCAAGUUUCACACUAGUAUAUUUUAUGUUAAAAUUAUGUAGUCUUUACAUCAGGGGUAUAUCAAUGGUAUUCAAGUACAUUUGGAAGAGUGCAAUCUGCAUUUUGAAACUUAAGUGACCUUUGAUAACUUUUGAAUUUUCCUUCAAAAUGGGCA